GUUUCUUUUUUUUUUGCACCAGGGAUUGAACUCGGGUCCUUGUGCUUGCACAGCAGGCGGUGAAACCACUCAGCUAAAUCCCCGGCCUAAAUAUGUUUCUAAUGGGAAAUGCAUAUCAUCAAAGUAUCCGAGGGUCUGAUCAGCCCACGGCAGUCACCCCUUGUUGCUUUGCUGUCUUCUGUCCAUCAUGGACUGUUUCUGCAAUGCCCCUUUGCAUUGCCACCCUGCCUUGCAGCCAGCCAGUUAUGAACUGAAACCUCUACAAACUGUUAGCUAAAUAAACCUUUC
ensembl:lncRNA